GAUUCCCUACCUUGUUCGUGCCCACGAAGAGUAAUUUUUGAGCCAACACCUGAUUGAGGGAGCCUGCGUUUAGGUGCGAUGUGUCGUAUCUAACAGGGCACCCACCUUGGAAAUCGGGUUCAAAAGUUUUCUUCGGACGACAGGGUGGGGAUUUU
rnacentral:other from 1 species